GAGGUGAAAAGCAAAAAUCACAUUCGAUGUGCGUCCUGCAGCGAGCUGUCAGAGGCAGCACGCCCAGGGCAGUGAGAGCUGCACCCCAGCACCACCCAGAAACGACACUCAGCAGCUCAGCAUCCAGGCCCUCGUCUCCGCCAGAGCUGAGAAUCAGGUCUGUCAGCCUCUGUGCUUCGUCCCGAGGUGUUUUGUGCAGGAUGUGUCCUAAGGACCAAACAGCCAGACCAAAGGAAGGAGGCCCGUCAGAACACGGCAAGAUGCAACUGUCAACCGUGAAGACCUGUCUGGCUGGAGACUCUGAGCCACGCCGUGCUCAAGGCUGCAGACUCAAACCAUGAUCCCACCUCUAACCAGCUGUGUAGUCUUCACAAGUCACUCAGCCCCUCUGUAAAGGGGAGAGAAUACAGCACAA